UCAUUUAUGCUUGAUACCAUGAUAACCAGCAGAGGGCGCAGUGUAGAAUAUCAGUCGUGCUUUCACACUGAGCUCCUGACCCAGACUCUAGAGCACAUUCAACUCUGGCCGACCAUCAGAGCAUCAGGUGUCACUUACUAUUUUCAUUCUUUUACAGUUAAUUCAUUUUAAAUGCAGAUUAUACAUGUUUGUCCAGAAUGACAGGGAUCGUAAGUAUCUAUAUGGCACAUUAUUUCCUCAUUAGGCACUACUUCUAAAGACAAAGCAGACACAUUAUGGCUGCUCUAUGAAUCUGAGGCCCAGGCCAAAUUAAAAGAUCCAAAGCUUGAAUCUGUGCUCGAAGCGGUUUUGGAACUGGAUUAUGUUGAGACCAAGCUGUUAGAAAUGAUUACAAGUCAGAUUCUAGAACCAUAACCCCCAUUUUAAAGAAUUACAUAUUCUAAUAAUUCAUGGAUGGUGAAAUUCUGACUGAAUGAUUGAAUAUAGACUACCAUUCCAAAGUCUUUUUGUCCUCUAUAAAUACUACUUUACAAUAUUUUUUACUGAAUUGUGAUAAAAUAUAUGCAGUCUUGGUAAGCAUAAAACAUAAAAAAAGCAUUCUUAUGCAAUUAAUUUAUUACACUGAUAGAUAACAAAAGACACCAAAAUGUUCCUCAUCAGCUUAUACAUGUGUGCAUGUCACAGUAACUGUUUACACAGCCGGAUUCAGCUGACCCUGCAGAGCGGGGUGUCCGAGGUGCAGUCCUGCAUGUUGGAGGAAGUGUAGGGCUACUAUGAGGAAGCUCUGUCCAUCAUAGCAACCACACCAGAGGACUUCACAGAACUGGAGAUCAGAGCGUGGAAUGCAGGAAUUCUGCUCUACAGUCUGGCCCAGUAUCCCGAGGCUGAGAGGUGGUUUGGGCUGGGAAUGAGCUUCCUGAAGCACCUGGGCUCCCUGCAGGACAGCUAUCAGACUCAGAUGGCGGGUCUGUACAGUGAGGUGUUGGACAGGCUGGAUAAAGCAAAGAAGAAUCUCAUUACUGAAGAGCGAAUGAUGGCGUCUUCAGUCGCAGAUGGAAAUCUCAGGUCUAAUGGCACGUGUUUAAUAUGAAGUGUGAAUUUCCUUGCAUGUUUGUGAGAAGCUAAGAGAUGUACAGUGCAUCUGAGGGGUUGUUCGGAGAGUUAUGGAAGGUUAAGAAAAAUAGAAUGUCUUGUAUUCAUUUAAUCUGAAAUAUUUUUUGGCAGUAUUAUUUUAUUACCUGUCAUCCGGUUAUCUGUUUGAGCUUUUCUUGGGUGACUAGUUCAAAACAUCUGCAUUGCGAUACAAAACAAAUAAAAAUGCAUGCAUUGAAAUCGUAA